rnacentral:rRNA from 1 species
GAUGAACGCUGGCGGCGUGCCUAAUACAUGCAAGUCGAGCGAACAGACGAGGAGCUUGCUCCUCUGACGUUAGCGGCGGACGGGUGAGUAACACGUGGAUAACCUACCUAUAAGACUGGGAUAACUUCGGGAAACCGGAGCUAAUACCGGAUAACAUGUUGAACCGCAUGGUUCAACAGUGAAAGACGGUCUUGCUGUCACUUAUAGAUGGAUCCGCGCCGCAUUAGCGAGUUGGUAAGGUAACGGCUUACCAAGGCAACGAUGCGUAGGCGACCUCAGAGGGUGAUCGGCCACCCUGGAACUGAGCCACGGUCCAGACGCCUACGGGAGGCAGCAGUAGGGAAUCUUCCGCAAUGGGCGAAAGCCUGACGGAGCAACGCCGCGUGAGUGAAGAAGGUCUUCGGAUCGUAAAACUCUGUUAUUAGGGAAGAACAAAUGUGUAAGUAACUAUGCACGUCUUGACGGUACCUAAUCAGAAAGCCACGGCUAACUACGUG